UGGGGAAUAUUGCACAAUGGGCGCAAGCCUGAUGCAGCCAUGCCGCGUGUGUGAAGAAGGCCUUCGGGUUGUAAAGCACUUUCAGCGAGGAGGAAGGUGGUGAACUUAAUACGUUCAUCAAUUGACGUUACUCGCAGAAGAAGCACCGGCUAACUCCGUGCCAGCAGCCGCGGUAAUACGGAGGGUGCAAGCGUUAAUCGGAAUUACUGGGCGUAAAGCGCACGCAGGCGGUUUGUUAAGUCAGAUGUGAAAUCCCCGGGCUCAACCUGGGAACUGCAUUUGAAACUGGCAAGCUAGAGUCUCGUAGAGGGGGGUAGAAUUCCAGGUGUAGCGGUGAAAUGCGUAGAGAUCUGGAGGAAUACCGGUGGCGAAGGCGGCCCCCUGGACGAAGACUGACGCUCAGGUGCGAAAAGCGUGGGGAGCAAAACAGGAUUAGAUACCCUGGUAGUCCACGCUGUAAAACGAUGUCGAUUUUGGAGGUUGUGCCCUUGAGGCGUGGCUUCCGGAGCUAACGCGUUAAAUCGACCGCCUGGGGAGUACGGCCG
rnacentral:rRNA from 1 species